rnacentral:ncRNA from 2 species
GACAAGUGCUAGGGGAGCCAAAAAGUGGCUGAGAGGGGAUUCGUUCCCGACCCUUUGAACCUGUCAGGGUAAUGCCUGCGUAGGGAAGCAUGCUUUUUAAAAC